rnacentral:rRNA from 1 species
CCUACGGGUGGCAGCAGUGAGGAAUAUUGGUCAAUGGACGAGAGUCUGAACCAGCCAAGUAGCGUGAAGGAUGACUGCCCUAUGGGUUGUAAACUUCUUUUAUAAGGGAAUAAAACGAGGCACGUGUGCCUUUUUGCAUGUACUUUAUGAAUAAGGAUCGGCUAACUCCGUGCCAGCAGCCGCGGUAAUACGGAGGGUCCGAGCGUUAUCCGGAUUUAUUGGGUUUAAAGGGAGCGUAGAUGGGUUGUUAAGUCAGUUGUGAAAGGUUGCGGCUCAACCGUAAGAUUGCAAUUGAUACUGGCAGUCUUGAGUGCAGUUGAGGUAAGCGGAAUGCGUGGUGUAGCGGUGAAAUGCUUAGAUAUCACGAAGAACCCCGAUUGCGAAGGCAGCUUACUAAACUGUGACUGACGUUGAUGCUCGAAAGUGUGGGUAUCAAACAGGAUUAGAUACCCUUGUAGUC